rnacentral:rRNA from 1 species
GAUGAACGCUAGCGGCAGGCUUAAUACAUGCAAGUCGUGGGGCAGCAGGGGUGUAGCAAUACAUCUGCUGGCGACCGGCAAACGGGUGCGUAACACGUACGCAACCUUCCCGUUACUGUGGCAUAGCCCAGGGAAACUUGGAUUAAUACCACAUAUUAUAUAGAGAGGGCAUCCUUUUUAUAUCAAAGCUUCGGCGGUAACGGAUGGGCGUGCGGUUGAUUAGGUAGUUGGCGGGGUAACGGCCCACCAAGCCUACGAUCAAUAGCUGAUGUGAGAGCAUGAUCAGCCACACGGGCACUGAGACACGGGCCCGACUCCUACGGGAGGCAGCAGUAGGGAAUAUUGGGCAAUGGACGAAAGUCUGACCCAGCCAUGCCGCGUGAAGGAUUAAGGUCCUCUGGAUUGUAAACUUCUUUUCUCUGGGGCGAAAAAGGAUCUUUCUAGAUCAACUGACGGUACCAUGUGAAUAAGCACCGGCUAACUCCGUGCCAGCAGCCGCAGUAACAC